GGUCUGUCUUCAGGUCUGUCUUCAGGUCUGUCUUCAGGUCUGUCUGUCUUCAGGUCUGUCUUCAGGUCAGUUAGAAGAGAUACCAUAGGAAAUACCCCAUCAACCAAUUCACCUGAACACCAUCAGGUUAGAAGAAAAGCCAGUCUAUUUAUGGCUAUUCAACAACCAUUCACCUGAAUGUGAUGUGGCCCAUCUACCAGCCUUAAAACCCUGGUCUGGUUCAGUGGAUACAGAAGCCUGGGGAAACAUUGAACUUGUACAGUACACUUUGUUCUUCCAUCUAUUCAUUGUGGGUACCAAGACCUGGACCUAAAGACCUAAGCUAGAAGGGAAAUCAGAAGACCGUAUGGAUAAUGGCACCCUAACCCAGACCUGAUCAUAUGCAGCCACACCAGCUUUAUACAACAGGACAAAACAUUCUCAGGUUCACUUACAGCGUCAACAUCCCAAAGACACUAAAAACACCUCAGAUUACAGUAUGGCAUUACACCAAAGUUGUCCAAAUGUCCAAGGCACUCUGCAAUGGAUUAGAAUUCUGUGUUAUAGUUUUUGACAUUUUGACUAAUAUACUGUAAAUCUAUACCAUGUACUGUAUUUAUUUUUGUUUGGUAUAUUUUGAUAUGUGUUAUUACCUAUAUUUUGACACAUUCAUCGUCUUCUAAGCAUAAUGUUUGCUUUUUGGAACUGAUAUUUUCACAUGAGUGUUUUUCUAGUCUUACAAGCGCAAUCUGUAAAUUAGAUUAUUUUUUUAAACAAAAGUGUUCCUUUGAAUAUUGAAGGGGUCUAUGCAAAUAUACCCUCUCCAAAUAUAUAUAUUCAGUAUAAAAGAAGAGUAGGAAUUUGCUAUUGACAUAAAUACAACGGUUUUAAUCUAGUUUUUGUUUAAUUUUGCUCCCACGUGGGGGCAGAUAAUUUACAGAUUGCUCCUUUACAGUAUUAGGGAAACCUUUGAUUGUCCUGUAAAUGGAAUGUAAAGCUUGUACAUAAAGUUAUAUUUGCAAUAAUUACUAUCAUUUAAGAUCAAGUUAAGUCCAGCAUGUAUCACCAAGGCCCUAUAUAUCAGUAAUAGAGAUAAAAUAAGUAAUUUGCUCCUACAUUUCUCAGGUAUUACUUAUGAUAGUAUGUUGAUAGUAUGGUGAUAGUAUGGUGAUAGUAAGUGGAUAAUUUGAUGAUAGAAUGUUGAUAGUAUGGUGAUAGUAAGUGGAUAAUUUGAUGAUAGUAUGUUGAUAGUAUGGGGAUAGUAUGAAUUAGAUAAAACAAACAAAUGUAGUAUUUCUAAAUAAAAUACUAUUUAAAAAUAUGUAAAUAUUGGUAAAAAUGUAAAUGUUUGAUAAAUGUGUAUUGGAAUUCGAUGCAUUUUGCAUCAAUUCGCUAAAAUGUUAUUUUUUUGGGAUGAUUUCUCUGAGGAAGCCUACAGUCACAUAGAGCAAUCCAAAAAGGAUCUCAGCGGAGUGUAACUUGAUUCCUGAUGUUCAAACCUGUCAGUACCACAAAACAAAGAGAUGUUUGUCUCAGAGAAGGUCAAACUCUGGAAACUAGGCCAUUGAACGUUACACACAGGGGUGAUUUGGUCUGAUGCAUAUGAACACCAGGUUAUGCCUAAAGCCCUGUAGUCUCUGGUAUGGCCGGAGCGGUAGCGACUGUCGUGAUUGUGAGUAGAAAUGUUUGAUUCAUGCAUCGUUUCCUCUUUCUCUCCGCCUACAUUCCUCUGCAUAUUUACAUAUUUUGCACAGGCAGUCCGGUGUAACCCCUGACUUUUAUUGUAUAUAAGAGACACUCAUCAGCUCACCCAUUACUGUUGAAAGCACAUGUAAUAAAUGAAUAAAUAUCUGUAGAAUGUGUAAGAUAACCAUAACACGGGGAUCCUCCAUACUGUCCCCUUCUGGAGAGCUUAUUUGUCACAGCUCAGCAGUGAUAGAGUCACCUGAUCAAGGCUUUGAAGAUUUAAUUACUGAUUAGUUCAAUUGGAACCCAGAACCAAAUCUUGUGUGCUGACCAGCUACGCAACUUGACAUGUAUUAUAAUUUAUGUUCAUGUGUUAAAAGUCUGUCACAGGAUGUUGUUUGCUGUAUCAGGUGUGAUGGCACAUGUGGGACAAAAACCUACUGUACUUUGACUCUCCAGGAGCAGGUUUGAGGAUGAGAGAGAGCGAGAGACCGGAGAGGGUGACUGGAGAGAGGGUUAGGGACUGCUUCAGACUGAUGUACUCCAGUCAUACACACUGCUGUGAACUGUUAGUUUAAUACACUGGUUUGUCAUACUGUAUGUACUCUGAUCAGCACAGAUUUGAAAGCAUUGCACAAGCUGUCAAGGAUCUUAUGCCAAAAAAUAAAUAAAUAAAAAUGGUUUUAAAUUAA